AUCUAAAUAGUUUAAUUAAAAAUAUUAAUUUGUGGAGUUAAAGUUAUAGUAUAUAUUUUAGAUA
rnacentral:tRNA from 1 species